CCUACGUGAGGCAGCAGUGAGGAAUAUUGGUCAAUGGGCGGGAGCCUGAACCAGCCAAGUCGCGUGAGGGAAGACGGUCCUAUGGAUUGUACACCUCUUUAGGCGGGGAGCAAUGCCGGGCACGCGUGCCCGGAGGGAGAGUCCCCGCCGAAUCAGCAUCGGCUAAUUCCGUGCCAGCAGCCGCGGUAAUACGGAGGAUGCGAGCGUUAUCCGGAUUUAUUGGGUUUAAAGGUUGCGUAGUGGGAUUUUUAAGUCAGCGGUAAAAUGUCCGGGCUCACACCGGGCCGGCCGUUGAAACUGGGGAUCUUGAGUGGGCUAGAAGUAUGCGGAAUGCGGGGUGUAGCGGUGAAAUGCAUAGAGAUCACGCAGAACUCCGAUUGCGAAGGCAGCAUACCGGCGCCCGACUGACGCUGAGGCACGAAAGCGUGGGGAUCGAACAGGAUUAGAUACCCUGGUAGUC
rnacentral:rRNA from 1 species